GCUCUGGUGGCUCAAUCGGAUAGAGCGUUGGAAUUCUAAUCCAAAGGUUGCGGGUUCAAUUCCCGCUCAGAGUA
rnacentral:tRNA from 1 species